GAGUUCUUAUUCCCCAGAUCAGUAACUAGCUGUGCGGCUUUGAACGGGUCCCUUCACUUCUCAGAGCCUCUUUUUCCUCGUGUGAAAGAAAGGGAAGGAAUUUUUACAGUUUUAUUUGUAUGUGUCUAUUUCAUCUCCAUUUUAUUAAAAACUGGGCUCAGGUUGAACACACUUGGUCAAAAUGAACCCUCUUUCUAAAUGCCAAUUCACAGGAUUGUUCCAUAUCCAGAGAUGUGUGGAUGGAAAGGUUCCUUAUUCAAAUCUUAUUAAUGAAUUCCAGACACCCAGGACACCCCCAGCAACAAGGAAUCUUUCGCUGAGUUGGUUCAUGCCAUUUUUGGACAGCAUGAAUUAUCACAGAUGUCUCCAGCAGAGAAUGCAUGAAACUCAGUUGAUAAUUCUUACAAAUGGUACCAAACAAAGGAAGAAAAUACCAGAACCAAUGGGCUAAUGCAACACAAUACAAAGAACAGAGGAGAAUGGGAAUUUCCAUGAAGUGGGUAACCUAUUUUUGGCAAGGUUGAAGAGAGACCCUGCAAACAAGCCCAAGGCAUGUUAAGAGUGAUAAUAGCUAAGAUCUACUGACCACUUAAUAUUGUGCCGAGUACUCUGUUUGAUGAAUGAACAGCCAUACAGAAAUGUGAUUGGACACAAAGGAUCUGGCCUAACGGUGAAGGACGGAGUGGGGAAACCCAGCAAAACCACAGAAUUUUUUACUGAGUACUUCAGUUACAAGGUAGAGCGUGAACCCUGCAAGAGAAAUGAGCUCCUAUUGAUUUGUUUAUAAAUUAUCACAACAAAACAAAAUGCCCCUGGCUAAACUGGGAUCUGGGAUUUGGGGUUGUGCCAACCGUCAGGUCAUCACUGUUCAACUCCAAAUACACCCCUUAAUAGCUGCUCUGUGA